rnacentral:rRNA from 1 species
GAUGAACGCUAGCUACAGGCUUAACACAUGCAAGUCGAGGGGAAACGACAUCGAAAGCUUGCUUUUGAUGGGCGUCGACCGGCGCACGGGUGAGUAACGCGUAUCCAACCUGCCCACCACUUGGGGAUAACCUUGCGAAAGUAAGACUAAUACCCAAUGAUAUCUCUAGACGACAUCUGAAAGGGAUUAAAGAUUUAUCGGUGAUGGAUGGGGAUGCGUCUGAUUAGCUUGUUGGCGGGGUAACGGCCCACCAAGGCAACGAUCAGUAGGGGUUCUGAGAGGAAGGUCCCCCACAUUGGAACUGAGACACGGUCCAAACUCCUACGGGAGGCAGCAGUGAGGAAUAUUGGUCAAUGGGCGAGAGCCUGAACCAGCCAAGUAGCGUGCAGGAUGACGGCCCUAUGGGUUGUAAACUGCUUUUAUAAGGGAAUAAAGUGGGUCACGUGUGACUUUUUGCAUGUACCUUAUGAAUAAGGACCGGCUAAUUCCGUG